GAUGAACGCUGGCGGCGUGCCUGACACAUGCAAGUCGAACGGUUCGCAAGGACCGUGGCGCACGGGUGAGUAACACGUAGUUCACCUGCCCCGCAGAGGCGGAUAACGCGGGCGAAAGCCGUGCUAAGACGCCAUAAGCUCACGAGCUGUAGAGGCUUGCGAGAAAACAUUUAUGGCUGCGGAGGGGCUGCGACCCAUCA
rnacentral:rRNA from 1 species